rnacentral:rRNA from 1 species
UAACUUUCAACAACGGAUCUCUUGGCUCCUGCAUCGAUGAAGAACGCAGCGAAAUGCGAUAAGUAAUGUGAAUUGCAGAAUUCCGUGAAUCAUCAAAUCUUUGAACGCAAAUUGCACUCCUUGGUAUUCCGAGGAGUAUGCUUGUUUGAGGGUUGUUC